rnacentral:rRNA from 1 species
UACAGAGGGUGCAAGCGUUGUUCGGAAUUACUGGGCGUAAAGCGCGUGUAGGCGGUUUGUUAAGUCAGAUGUGAAAUCCCUAGGCUUAACCAAGGAACUGCAUUUGAAACUGUCAGACUAGAGUGUCGGAGGGGGUGGCGGAAUUCCCGGUGUAGAGGUGAAAUUCGUAGAUAUCGGGAGGAACACCUGUGGCGAAGGCGGCCACCUGGAAGACAACUGACGCUGAGGUGCGAAAGCGUGGGGAGCAAACAGG